rnacentral:rRNA from 1 species
AGUGAACGCUGGCGGUAGGCCUAACACAUGCAAGUCGAACGGCAGCACAGUAAGAGCUUGCUCUUACGGGUGGCGAGUGGCGGACGGGUGAGGAAUACAUCGGAAUCUACUUUUUCGUGGGGGAUAACGUAGGGAAACUUACGCUAAUACCGCAUACGACCUACGGGUGAAAGCAGGGGAUCUUCGGACCUUGCGCGAUUGAAUGAGCCGAUGUCGGAUUAGCUAGUUGGCGGGGUAAGGGCCCACCAAGGCGACGAUCCGUAGCUGGUCUGAGAGGAUGAUCAGCCACACUGGAACUGAGACACGGUCCAGACUCCUACGGGAGGCAGCAGUGGGGAAUAUUGGACAAUGGGCGCAAGCCUGAUCCAGCCAUACCGCGUGGGUGAAGAAGGCCUUCGGGUUGUAAAGCCCUCUUGUUGGGAAAGAAAAGCAGCAGGUUAAUACCCCGCUGUUCUGACGGUACCCAAAGAAUAAGCACCGGCUAACUUCGUG